AUUGAACGCUGGCGGCAGGCCUAACACAUGCAAGUCGAACGGUAACAGGAAGCAGCUUGCUGCUUUGCUGACGAGUGGCGGACGGGUGAGUAAUGUCUGCGAAACUGCCUGAUGGAGGGGGAUAACUACUGGAAACGGUAGCUAAUACCGCAUAACGUCGCAAGACCAAAGAGGGGGACCUUCGGGCCUCUUGCCAUCGGAUGUGCCCAGAUGGGAUUAGCUAGUAGGUGGGGUAACGGCUCACCUAGGCGACGAUCCCUAGCUGGUCUGAGAGGAUGACCAGCCACACUGGAACUGAGACACGGUCCAGACUCCUACGGGAGGCAGCAGUGGGGAAUAUUGCACAAUGGGCGCAAGCCUGAUGCAGCCAUGCCGCGUGUAUGAAGAAGGCCUUCGGGUUGUAAAGUACUUUCAGCGGGGAGGAAGGGAGUAAAGUUAAUACCUUUGCUCAUUGACGUUACCCGCAGAAGAAGCACCGGCUAACUCCGUG
rnacentral:rRNA from 1 species